GAAUUUUUGAGGGAGGUUGCAAUAAUGAAACGCCUACGACAUCCAAAUAUAGUUCUUUUCAUGGGUGCAGUUACUCAGCGCCCAAACUUAUCCAUAGUGACAGAAUAUUUAUCAAGAGGUAGCUUGUUUAGGCUCUUGCAUAAGUCUGGUGCAAAAGAGGCAUUGGAUGAAAGGCGUCGGUUAAGUAUGGCUUAUGAUGUGGCAAAG
rnacentral:misc_RNA from 1 species